rnacentral:rRNA from 1 species
CGGCGAGUGAGCGGGAAGAGCUCAAAUUUGAAAUCUUCAAGGUUCUACCUUGACGAAUUGUAGUUUAAAGAAGUGUUUUCUGUUGGAGUUUUGGUAAAAGUUCUUUGGAAUAGGACAUCAUAGAGGGUGAGAAUCCCGUAUUUGACCAUUAUUUCCAGCUUUGUGAUACACUUUCAAAGAGUCGGAUUGUUUGGGAAUGCAGUCCAAAAUGGGUGGUAAAUUUCAUCUAAAGCUAAAUAUUGGCGAGAGACCGAUAGCGAACAAGUACCGUGAGGGAAAGAUGAAAAGAACUUUGAAAAGAGAGUUAAACAGUACGUGAAAUUGUCAAAAGGGAAGCGUUUGACACCAGUGUUGUUUUCUCGAAAAUCAAUUAAAAAAGGCUGGAUUUUGUGUUGUAUUGACUUUAUCAGCUUUCUGCACUCUUUUCUUGUCUUUUUUAAUGCACUUUUCGUUUAACAAGUCAACAUCAAUUUCUUUUGUUGUAAAAGGGUCAUUGGAAGGUGGCUUUCUUUUCGGAGAAAGUGUUUAUAGCCUUUGGCCUCUGCAAUCGGAGAGAUUGAGGUCUGCAGCGUAGAUCCUUCGGGGUUAGAUACAUUUGUGCUAAGUUAUAGCCUUUCAUAGACAACUUGUUGACUAUGAUCAGUCAUGUAGCUUACUCGCUUAUGCUAUUUUACCUACGCUUAGGAUGUUGACAAAAUGGUUUUAAACGACCCG